rnacentral:rRNA from 1 species
GACGAACGCUGGCGGCGUGCUUAACACAUGCAAGUCGAACGGAAAGGCCCUGCUUGUGUGGGGUUCUCGAGUGGCGAACGGGUGAGUAACACGUGAGUAACCUGCCCUUGACUUUGGGAUAACUUCAGGAAACUGGGGCUAAUACCGGAGAGGAGCUCCUGCUGGAUGGUGGGGUUCGGAAAGUUUCGGCGGUUGGGGAUGGACUCGCGGAUUAUCAGCUUGUUGGUGGGGUAGUGGCUUACCAAGGCUUUGACGGGUAGCCGGCCUGAGAGGGUGACCGGCGACAUUGGGCCUGAGAUACGGCCCAGACUCGUACGGGAGGCAGCAGUGGGGAAUAUUGCACAAUGGGCGGGAGCCUGAUGCAGCAACGCCGCGUGCGGGAUGACGGCCUUCGGGUUGGAAACCGCUUUCGCCUGUGACGAAGCGUGAGUGACGGUAAUGGGUAAAGAAGCACCGGCUAACUACGUG